UUUUUCAUAUUUUAGUAAUAUAAUAUGCUUACCAUGGUGUGACCUUUUCUGGAUAUAUACCACAACUCUUGCAAUAAUAAUGGUCACUAAUUUGUGGCACUUAUCACAUGACAUGUACCACCAUUGAAUAUUUUCUUGCAAACGAUCCACUGUAGCUAUGACAGUGAACACAAAAUCCUAAAGAAAACAACAUUAGCAUUUGGGUGGGGUGUGGGAUUAAGAGGCAUAUAUAAGCACAAUAUGGUUUCAUUGUAACUAAUAUUAAAUGAAUUGUCCAUGCAGGUCUUAUCGCGUAUCACGGAGAUUGAUGAUAUCAUUUAUUGGAAUUUUGAUGCGUUACCUGGUCUGGCUGGUUUCCGUGCCUCAUUGCAGCUAGAUUUGCUUUGGCUUCAAUUCUUUCGACUUAGAUUGGAGCAGGCGUCGCUUCGUCGGGCGCUGAGCGUGCUUUCGCGUGACUAUGUCGGGCGUCGAGUGAAGCGGCUGGAGGUGGCUUUUUCGUCUGGACGUUGAGUCGCGUGUGAUGUGUUCAAGUCAUCGUGGUCGUUGGCUUCUAAUUGUUUGGUGGGUACUUGUGCGUCCGUGUGUACUUAUUUAUAUACUUUUAGGUGUCUUGGAUUGUGGUGGCUGAGACCGGCUGCAAAUCAGACGCCAACACCGUGUGCAAAUCAGACUUAUGCACCGUGUGCAAGUCAAACUUGUUUUAUUUGCAUGUAUUUGUUCCUGAUCUGGAACUUUCCUCA